AGUGUCAGCUUGCUGGUUUGCAGUCUUCAAAUGUUUGCAAGUUUCACCCCGAUAAAACAAACAAUGUCAGCGAAAUGUUCUGCACCCAAAACGUUGGACUUCUGGACUGCAGCAGGAUGAGUACUGCAGCAAUAUGUUUUAAUAUGAAUAUAACAAUGCUAAUUUGGGGCCCCCUCCAGUUUUCUGUAUGCAGCCUGCAGUUUGGACACCCUUGUAUUUGGUCCCAAUUGCUGAUAAUAUGUGGGAGGGAACAAACAGAAACACUGACGCUCAGAGCUUUGAACGCCUUCGCCAGCUGAUGCUGCAACUAACACUCACUUUGAUGGACCUGAAAAUGCUGUCCUGUGCUUUGAAGCCACUGGAGGAACUCAGGGGUGUGAGCCGUUUGAAUGGACCAGGUUGGUACAGUCGAUUGGGUGUUACCUUCCAGCUAAUGGCAAAACCUUUACCCUGCCGCAUUCGAACUUCCUGCUAGCUGACAUUUUCCUUGGAUUUUGGGUCAACAUUUGCAAUAAAAGCCACUGUUGUAAUUAUUAGAUUAGAUUAAGCGAUUGAAUCCUCCCCUUUUUUCUUCAAUUGCCAUUGUCCACUCCUGAUUGAAUGCUGGUUUAGGCCCUAAAUAUGCCUCACAAACCUAUUUAGCACAUUGUAUAAUAUGUGUAGAUAUUUACCUGUAACAUGGCAAAAAAAAACUCCGGCUCAAGCAGUGUCACAGUCCCAGAGGGACCCUUAAUGACGUCACGUGUCAUCUUACUAAGAAAACACUAAAUUCACCGCACAGCAACUGAACACACCAAAGGUACACCCUAGAAAUAUACAAACAUGUAUGAAAUAUAGAAAAAAAGAAAUAGAAAAUUGUGGAUUUUAUGCAAUGCGGCCCCUGUCCACCAGAGGAAGCCAAAGUCCCGAGGGAGGCUGAUGUCAUGACAGCGCCCCAAUGAAUGUGUCCCUCAGACGCAAUGCCUGAUGGGAAAACUUUCAAAUCUUGAUGAGUGACUUUAUCUCAGUAAUGUAACGAUCACAACCAUGGAAUUUCUUUUUCACUGACAACAAUUUAGAAUACAUAGAACAGAAUACCCUUGUAAAGAUUUGUGCAGGUUUGGAGAACGUGUCAUAUAAGUUUCAUGUUGUCGGUAUGUUCUGUACGAAUGUCGAAUGACGAGCAAAAUCUUGUGUGACGGAAAAACUGUCAAAACGCUGUACACUGUACAGCAGGGGUCUCAAACUCAAUUUACCUGGGGGCCACUGGAGCUAGGGUCUGGGCAAGGCUGGGCCGCAUCAGGUUUUCAAAAAAAAAGAAACAUUUAUUAAAAACAGAAAAAUAUACAAACUUUUUCAGUGCUUUGGUUCCGAUUUUCUACAAUAAAGCUGUGAUAAAACAUUCCACUGUUCUCAAA